UGGGGAAUUUUGGACAAUGGGCGCAAGCCUGAUCCAGCCAUGCCGCGUGCGGGAAGAAGGCCUUCGGGUUGUAAACCGCUUUUGUCAGGGAAGAAAUCUUCUGAGUUAAUACCUCGGGAGGAUGACGGUACCUGAAGAAUAAGCACCGGCUAACUACGUGCCGGCAGCCGCGGUAAUACGUAGGGUGCAAGCGUUAAUCGGAAUUACUGGGCGUAAAGCGUGCGCAGGCGGUUUUGUAAGACAGAGGUGAAAUCCCCGGGCUCAACCUGGGAACUGCCUUUGUGACUGCAAGGCUUGAGUGCGGCAGAGGGGGAUGGAAUUCCGCGUGUAGCAGUGAAAUGCGUAGAUAUGCGGAGGAACACCGAUGGCGAAGGCAAUCCCCUGGGCCUGCACUGACGCUCAUGCACGAAAGCGUGGGGAGCAAACAGGAUUAGAUACCCUGGUAGUCCACGCCCUAAACGAUGUCAACUGGUUGUUGGGAAGGUUCCUUCUCAGUAACGUAGCUAACGCGUGAAGUUGACCGCCUGGGGAGUACGGCCGCAAGGUUGAAAACUCAAAGGAAUUGACGGGGUCAUAGCUGUUUCCU
rnacentral:rRNA from 1 species